AGUGAACGCUGGCGGUAAGCCUAACACAUGCAAGUCGAACGGCAGCACAGAGGAGCUUGCUCCUUGGGUGGCGAGUGGCGGACGGGUGAGGAAUACAUCGGAAUCUACUCUGUCGUGGGGGAUAACGUAGGGAAACUUACGCUAAGACCGCAUACGACCUACGGGUGAAAGCAGGGGAUCUUCGGACCUUGCGCGAUUGAAUGAGCCGAUGUCGGAUUAGCUAGUUGGCGGGGUAAAGGCCCACCAAGGCGACGAUCCGUAGCUGGUCUGAGAGGAUGAUCAGCCACACUGGAACUGAGACACGGUCCAGACUCCUACGGGAGGCAGCAGUGGGGAAUAUUGGACAAUGGGCGCAAGCCUGAUCCAGCCAUACCGCGUGGGUGGAGAAGGCCUUCGGGUUGUAAAGCCCUUUUGUUGGGAAAGAAAUCCAUCUGGUUAAUACCCGGGUGGGAUGACGGUACCCAAAGAAUAAGCACCGGCUAACUUCGUGCCAGCCGCCGCGGUAA
rnacentral:rRNA from 1 species